rnacentral:rRNA from 1 species
GGGUUGUGAGGUUAAGCGACUAAGCGUACACGGUGGAUGCCCUGGCAGUCAGAGGCGAUGAAGGACGUGCUAAUCUGCGAUAAGCGUCGGUAAGGUGAUAUGAACCGUUAUAACCGGCGAUUUCCGAAUGGGGAAACCCAGUGUGUUUCGACACACUAUCAUUAACUGAAUCCAUAGGUUAAUGAGGCGAACCGGGGGAACUGAAACAUCUAAGUACCCCGAGGAAAAGAAAUCAACCGAGAUUCCCCCAGUAGCGGCGAGCGAACGGGGAGCAGCCCAGAGCCUGAAUCAGUAUGUGUGUUAGUGGAAGCGUCUGGAAAGGCGCGCGAUACAGGGUGACAGCCCCGUACACAAAAAUGCACAUAUUGUGAGCUCGAUGAGUAGGGCGGGACACGUGGUAUCCUGUCUGAAUAUGGGGGGACCAUCCUCCAAGGCUAAAUACUCCUGACUGACCGAUAGUGAACCAGUACCGUGAGGGAAAGGCGAAAAGAACCCCGGCGAGGGGAGUGAAAAAGAACCUGAAACCGUGUACGUACAAGCAGUGGGAGCACGCUUAGGCGUGUGACUGCGUACCUUUUGUAUAAUGGGUCAGCGACUUAUAUUCUGUAGCAAGGUUAACCGAAUAGGGGAGCCGAAGGGAAACCGAGUCUUAACUGGGCGUUAAGUUGCAGGGUAUAGACCCGAAACCCGGUGAUCUAGCCAUGGGCAGGUUGAAGGUUGGGUAACACUAACUGGAGGACCGAACCGACUAAUGUUGAAAAAUUAGCGGAUGACUUGUGGCUGGGGGUGAAAGGCCAAUCAAACCGGGAGAUAGCUGGUUCUCCCCGAAAGCUAUUUAGGUAGCGCCUCGUGAA